GAGACAGGUGGUGCAUGGUUGUCGUCAGCUCGUGUCGUGAGAUGUUGGGUUAAGUCCCGCAACGAGCGCAACCCUUAUCAUUAGUUGCUAACAUUCAGUUGAGAACUCUAAUGAGACUGCCAGUGAUAAACUGGAGGAAGGUGGGGAUGACGUCAAAUCAUCAUGCCCCUUAUGACCUGGGCUACACACGUGCUACAAUGGGCGGUACAAAGGGUCGCGAACCCGCGAGGGGGAGCCAAUCCCAAAAAGCCGCUCUCAGUUCGGAUUGCAGGCUGCAACUCGCCUGCAUGAAGCCGGAAUCGCUAGUAAUCGCGGAUCAGCAUGCCGCGGUGAAUACGUUCCCGGGCCUU
rnacentral:rRNA from 1 species